UGAGGAAUAUUGGUCAAUGGGCGUAAGCCUGAACCAGCCAAGUAGCGUGAGGGAAGACUGCCCUAUGGGUUGUAAACCUCUUUUGUGCGGGGAUAAAGUGAGGGACGUGUCCCUUAUUGCAGGUACCGCACGAAUAAGGACCGGCUAAUUCCGUGCCAGCAGCCGCGGUAAUACGGAAGGUCCGGGCGUUAUCCGGAUUUAUUGGGUUUAAAGGGAGCGCAGGCCGUCCUUUAAGCGUGCUGUGAAAUGCCGCGGCUCAACCGUGGCACUGCAGCGCGAACUGGAGGACUUGAGUACGCACGAGGUAGGCGGAAUUCGUGGUGUAGCGGUGAAAUGCUUAGAUAUCACGAAGAACUCCGAUUGCGAAGGCAGCUUACCGGAGCGCAACUGACGCUGAGGCUCGAAAGCGCGGGUAUCGAACAGGAUUAGAUACCCUGGUAGUCCGCGCGGUAAACGAUGGAUGCCCGCCGUUGGGAUUUGGAUUUCAGCGGCCAAGCGAAAGCGUUAAGCAUCCCACCUGGGGAGUACGCCGGCAACGGUGAAACUCAAAGGAAUUGACGGGGGCCCGCACAAGCGGAGGAACAUGUGGUUUAAUUCGAUGAUACGCGAGGAACCUUACCCGGGCUUGAAUUGCAGGAGAACGAUCCAGAGAUGGUGAGGCCCUUCGGGGCUCCUGUGAAGGUGCUGCAUGGUUGUCGUCAGCUCGUGCCGUGAGGUGUCGGCUCAAGUGCCAUAACGAGCGCAACCCCUGUCCAUAGUUGCCAUCAGGUCGUGCUGGGCACUCUGUGGAGACUGCCGCCGUAAGGUGUGAGGAAGGUGGGGAUGACGUCAAAUCAGCACGGCCCUUACGUCCGGGGCUACACACGUGUUACAAUGGGGCAUACUGCGAGUUGGAUGUGCGCAAGUACGUCCGGAUCAAUAAAGUGCCUCUCAGUUCGGACUGGGGUCUGCAACCCGACCCCACGAAGCUGGAUUCGCUAGUAAUCGCGCAUCAGCCAUGGCGCGGUGAAUACGUUCCC
rnacentral:rRNA from 1 species